rnacentral:tRNA from 2 species
CGCGUUAGGUGCCUGCACCUGAUUUGUAAUCAGGGGGUCACGAGUUCGAACCUUGUCGGGGGCACCA